UACGGGGGGGGCAAGCGUUGUUCGGAAUUACUGGGCGUAAAGGGCUCGUAGGCGGCCAACUAAGUCAGACGUGAAAUCCCCAGGCUCAACCUGGGAACUGCGUCUGAUACUGGAUGGCUUGAAUCCGGGAGAGGGAUGCAGAAUUCCAGGUGUAGCGGUGAAAUGCGUAGAUAUCGGGAGGAACACCAGUGGCGAAGGCGACUACCUGGCCUGUUCUUGACGCUGAGGCGCGAAAGCUAGGGGAGCAAACGGG
rnacentral:rRNA from 1 species